rnacentral:rRNA from 1 species
CCUACGGGAGGCUGCAGUGAGGAAUAUUGGUCAAUGGCCGGAAGUCUGAACCAGCCAAGUCGCGUGAAGGAUGAAUGCCCUGAGCGUCGUAAACUUCUUUUAUCUGGGAAUAAAAGAGCGUAUGCAUCCGGUCUUGUAUGUACCCUAUGAAUAAGCAUCGGCUAACUCCGUGCCAGCAGCCGCGGUAAUACGGAGGAUACGAGCGUUAUCCGGAUUUAUUGGGUUUAAAGGGAGCGGAGGUGGGUUGUUAAGUCAGUUGUGAAAGUUUGGGGCUCAACCGCACAAUUGCAGUUGAAACGGGGAGUCUUGAGUACGGCAGAGGUGUGCGGAAUGCGUGGUGUAGCGGUGAAAUGCUUAGAUAUCACGAAGAACUCCGAUUGCGAAGGCAGCUCGCUGGACUGCAACUGACACUGAGGCUCGAAAGCGUGGGGAUCGAACAGGAUUAGAUACCCGAGUAGUC